rnacentral:tRNA from 1 species
UGGCAGAUCGUAUAAUUAGUACACAUAGUUUCGGCCUAUGAGGAGAGUGUUUCUCUCUGCCAU